CAGUAGCCGCGGUAAUACGAAGGGGGCUAGCGUUGUUCGGAAUUACUGGGCGUAAAGCGCACGUAGGCGGAUAUUUAAGUCAGGGGUGAAAUCCCAGAGCUCAACUCUGGAACUGCCUUUGAUACUGGGUAUCUUGAGUAUGGAAGAGGUGAGUGGAAUUCCGAGUGUAGAGGUGAGAUUCGUAGAUAUUCGGAGGAACACCAGUGGCGAAGGCGGCUCACUGGUCCAUUACUGACGCUGAGGUGCGAAAGCGUGGGGAGCAAACAGGAUUAGAUACCCCAGUAGUCCCUGUCUCUUAUAA
rnacentral:rRNA from 1 species